ACUCCUACGGGAGGCAGCAGUGGGGAAUAUUGCACAAUGGGCGCAAGCCUGAUGCAGCCAUGCCGCGUGUAUGAAGAAGGCCUUCGGGUUGUAAAGUACUUUCAGCAGUGAGGAAGGUGGGUAUGUUAAUAGCAUAUUCAUUUGACGUUAGCUGCAGAAGAAGCACCGGCUAACUCCGUGCCAGCAGCCGCGGUAAUACGGAGGGUGCGAGCGUUAAUCGGAAUUACUGGGCGUAAAGCGCAUGCAGGUGGUUUGUUAAGUCAGAUGUGAAAGCCCGGGGCUCAACCUCGGAAUUGCAUUUGAAACUGGCAAACUAGAGUACUGGUAGAGGGGGUAGAAUUUCAGGUGUAGCGGUGAAAUGCGUAGAGAUCUGAAGGAAUACCGGUGGCGAAGGCGGCCCCUGGACAGAUACUGACACUCAGAUGCGAAAGCGUGGGAGCAAACAGGAUUAGAUACCCCUGGUAGGUCAGUC
rnacentral:rRNA from 1 species